rnacentral:rRNA from 1 species
GAUGAACGCUGGCGGCGUGCCUAAUACAUGCAAGUCGAGCGAACAGAUGAGGAGCUUGCUCCUCUGACGUUAGCGGCGGACGGGUGAGUAACACGUGGAUAACCUACCUAUAAGACUGGGAUAACUUCGGGAAACCGGAGCUAAUACCGGAUAAUAUAUUGAACCGCAUGGUUCAAUAGUGAAAGACGGUUUUGCUGUCACUUAUAGAUGGAUCCGCGCCGCAUUAGCUAGUUGGUAAGGUAACGGCUUACCAAGGCAACGAUGCGUAGCCGACCUGAGAGGGUGAUCGGCCACACUGGACCUGAGACACGGUCCAGACUCCUACGGGAGGCAGCAGUAGGGAAUCUUCCGCAAUGGGCGAAAGCCUGACGGAGCAACGCCGCGUGAGUGAUGAAGGUCUUCGGAUCGUAAAACUCUGUUAUUAGGGAAGAACAAAUGUGUAAGUAACUAUGCACGUCUUGACGGUACCUAAUCAGAAAGCCACGGCUAACUACGUG